rnacentral:rRNA from 1 species
GAUGAACGCUAGCUACAGGCUUAACACAUGCAAGUCGAGUGACCGGCGCCCGGGUGAGUAACACGUAUCCAACCUGCCCUUUACUCGUGGAUAGCCUUUCGAAAGACAGAUUAAUACCCAAUAUAAAGGAUGGGGAUGCGUUCCAUUAUGUUGUUGGUGAGGUACCGGCUCACCAAGCCUUCGAUGGAUAGGGGUUCUGAGAGGAAGGUCCCCCAGAUUGGAACGUAGACACGGUCCAAACUCCGACGGGAGGCAGCAGUGAGUAAUAUUGGUCAAUGGGCGCUAGCCUGAAACAGCCAAGUAGCGGGAAGGAGGAAGGCUUAUGGGUCGUAAACUUCUUGGAUAUAAGAAUAGGUAUUAUAUGAAUAAGGAUCGGCUAACUACGUGCCAGCAGCCGCGGUAAUUC